rnacentral:rRNA from 1 species
AUACGUAGGGUGCGAGCGUUGUCCGGAAUUACUGGGCGUAAAGAGCUCGUAGGUGGUUUGUCGCGUCGUCUGUGAAAUUCCGGGGCUUAACUCCGGGCGUGCAGGCGAUACGGGCAUAACUUGAGUACUGUAGGGGAGACUGGAAUUCCUGGUGUAGCGGUGAAAUGCGCAGAUAUCAGGAGGAACACCGGUGGCGAAGGCGGGUCUCUGGGCAGUAACUGACGCUGAGGAGCGAAAGCAUGGGUAGCGAACAGGAUUAGAUCCCCUGGUAGUCCAUGCCGUAAACGGUGGGCGCUAGGUGUAGGGGUCUUCCACGACUUCUGUGCCGUAGCUAACGCAUUAAGCGCCCCGCCUGGGGAGUACGGCCGCAAGGCUAAAACUCAAAUGAAUUGACGGGG